rnacentral:misc_RNA from 1 species
AAGCUCGGCAGCGGCUACAGGGUUAGCGCCGAUCGGUAGGUCACAACCCCUGUAGCCGCUGCCGCAGGC